GCUGGGCAUGGUGGCUCAUGCCUGUAAUCCCAGCACUUUGGGAGGCCGAGGCAGGUGGAUCACCUGAGGUCGGGAGUUUGAGACCAGCCUGGCCAACAUGGUGAAACCCUGUCUCUA
rnacentral:sRNA from 1 species